rnacentral:lncRNA from 1 species
GAGCCUCCGCUGCAUCGACCCGUCUAAGUCUAUGGAUUACCUGAAUAGAACAGACAGACAGAUGUGAGUUUUCGUAAACUCAGUGUGUAACCCAAUAGAAAUAGACAUGCUAUACAUACAGAAUCAUAUACACAAUCAAAAAUAGAUUUAGAUUCACAUUCACAUUCACAUUCAGAUUCUGAUUCAAGUUCAUAUUCAAAUAACAGAAAAAAAUAUGAAAAAUCCUACCCCCGUC